UACGUAGGGGGCAAGCGUUGUCCGGAAUCAUUGGGCGUAAAGCGCGUGUAGGCGGCUCGGUAAGUCUGCUGUGAAAGUCCAGGGCUCAACCCUGGGAUGCCGGUGGAUACUGUCGAGCUCGAGUCCGGAAGAGGCGAGUGGAAUUCCUGGUGUAGCGGUGAAAUGCGCAGAUAUCGGGAAGAACACCCGUGGCGAAGGCGGCUCUCUGGGACGGUACUGACGCUGAGACGCGAAAGCGUGGGGAGCAAACAGG
rnacentral:rRNA from 1 species